GAGUUAAGCGAUUGAGGGAUAAAACCUAUAGCUGCUUCGCGUGGUUUCGGCACGGAGUGACCCUGGACUAAGUGGUGAAUAAGUAUGAGGGACUAAGUGAAGCUAUGAAUUGCGAAUGUUAUAGGCCUUAAAUCUUUCUCAUGGUAUCUGAGGAUCAUAGAUAGGUAUGUUAGGUAGGAAUUCCGAUUGUAGAUAGUUUACUCUUGGGACUGCAGCUCGAGAUGUGGAUUAUCUUAUUUCGGAUUCUUGUGCUUGAGUACUC
rnacentral:lncRNA from 1 species